rnacentral:ncRNA from 5 species
UUCAAGUAAUUCAGGAUAGGUUGU